UGGGGAAUUUUGGACAAUGGGGGAAACCCUGAUCCAGCCAUCCCGCGUGUGCGAUGAAGGCCUUCGGGUUGUAAAGCACUUUUGGCAGGAAAGAAACGUCAUGGGUUAAUACCCCGUGAAACUGACGGUACCUGCAGAAUAAGCACCGGCUAACUACGUGCCAGCAGCCGCGGUAAUACGUAGGGUGCAAGCGUUAAUCGGAAUUACUGGGCGUAAAGCGUGCGCAGGCGGUUCGGAAAGAAAGAUGUGAAAUCCCAGAGCUCAACUUUGGAACUGCAUUUUUAACUACCGGGCUAGGGUGUGUCAGAGGGAGGUGGAAUUCCGCGUGUAGCAGUGAAAUGCGUAGAUAUGCGGAGGAACACCGAUGGCGAAGGCAGCCUCCUGAGAUAACACUGACGCUAAUGCACGAAAGCGUGGGGAGCAAACAGG
rnacentral:rRNA from 1 species